rnacentral:misc_RNA from 1 species
CAGAGUUGCAAAACUCCCACAAACCAUCGCGAAUCCUACCCGUACGGUUGCCUCGGCGCUGGCGGUCCGGAAGGCCCUCGGGCCCCCCGGAUCCUCGGGUCUCCCGCUCGCGGGAGGCUGCCCGCCGGAGUGCCGAAACCAAACUCUUGAUAUUUUAUGUCUCUCUGAGUAAACUUUUAAAUAAGUCA